AAUAAAGUAAGCUAAUAAAGCUAAUGGGUUCAUACCCCAUCUAUGGAAUAUACUCCCUUUAUUA
rnacentral:tRNA from 1 species